AGUAUGGUGACCUAGUGGGUAGAGUGUCUCUCUCUGAUACAGGAGGUCGUGGGUUCAAUCCCCAGUUGAGUCAUACCA